rnacentral:rRNA from 1 species
UACAGAGGUCCCAAGCGUUGUUCGGAUUCACUGGGCGUAAAGGGUGCGUAGGCGGUUUGUCGCGUCUGCCGUGAAAGUCCGGGGCUCAACUCCGGAUCUGCGGUGGGUACGGGCAGACUAGAGUGAUGUAGGGGAGAUCGGAAUUCCUGGUGUAGCGGUGAAAUGCGCAGAUAUCAGGAGGAACACCGGUGGCGAAGGCGGAUCUCUGGGCCAUUACUGACGCUGAGGAGCGAAAGCGUGGGGAGCAAACAGG